rnacentral:rRNA from 1 species
GAUGAACGCUGGCGGCGUGCCUAAUACAUGCAAGUCGAGCGAACGGACGAGAAGCUUGCUUCUCUGAUGUUAGCGGCGGACGGGUGAGUAACACGUGGAUAACCUACCUAUAAGACUGGGAUAACUUCGGGAAACCGUAGCUAGUGCCGGAUAAUAUUUUGAACCGCAUGGUUCAAAAGUGAAAGACGGUCUUGCUGUCACUUAUAGAUGGAUCCGCGCUGCAUUAGCUAGUUGGUAAGGUAACGGCUUACCAAGGCAACGAUGCAUAGCCGACCUGAGAGGGUGAUCGGCCACACUGGAACUGAGACACGGUCCAGACUCCUACGGGAGGCAGCAGUAGGGAAUCUUCCGCAAUGGGCGAAAGCCUGACGGAGCAACGCCGCGUGAGUGAUGAAGGUCUUCGGAUCGUAAAACUCUGUUAUUAGGGAAGAACAUAUGUGUAAGUAACUGUGCACAUCUUGACGGUACCUAAUCAGAAAGCCACGGCUAACUACGUG